rnacentral:rRNA from 1 species
CACGUAGUUAGCCGUGGCUUUCUCAUAAGGUACCGUCAAUUGAUAGUCAUUUCCUCCUAUCACCUUUCUUCCCUUAUAACAGAAUUUUACAACCCGAAGGUCUUCUUCAUUCACGCGGCGUUGCUCGGUCAGGCUUUCGCCCAUUGCCGAAGAUUCCCUACUGCUGCCUCCCGUAGGAGUCUGGGCCGUGUCUCAGUCCCAGUGUGGCCGUUCACCCUCUCAGGUCGGCUACGCAUCGUCGCCUUGGUAGGCCUUUACCCCACCAACUAGCUAAUGCGCCGCAGGCUCAUCCAUCAGUGAUGCCAGGAGCAUCUUUAAACUUUCGUCCUAUCCGGUAUUAGCGAUCGUUUCCAAUCGUUGUCCCCGUCUGAUGGGCAGAUCACCUACGUGUUACUCACCCGUUCGCCGCUUCCCACCGAAGUGGUUCGCUCGACUUGCAUGUAUUAGGCACGCCGCCAGCGUUCAUCCUGAGCCAGGAUCAAACUC